AAUGACCGCGGAUCAGUGAGGAUACCCGCUGAAUUUAA
rnacentral:rRNA from 1 species